CCCACUUUCUUCUUCGUUCGUCCCUUCGGUGAAAAGAAAGGAAACACACAAGAACUUGAUGUAUAAUCUGCUUGCAUUGUAAAAGACAACAAUCGAGACAAGCGUAUACUAUCGUUAAUAAGUGUAUAAAAUUCAUAAUUUUUUAAACGACUGUGAUAAAUCUAUUGCCCAAGACGAAUUCUGAUUUCAACAAACAAGAUUAUUGGGAAAACUUUUCGAAACAAGAGGCAAGAAUUCAUUUGAAUGUUAUGGCAUCUAUCAGCAGGCAUUAGUAUGCUUCAUACAUAAAUCAACCCAUGAGUUGAUAGAAUCAAACAUUCUAUUUGACGUUUGAAAUUGUAGAAAUUUCUUCACUACGUGCUGAUGUACACGGUACUGACUUCAGCUAUACGACAAUGUUGAUCUACAUUUGUAUCUUGUUGCACCAAGAACAUAUAUUUCAGAUGGAUGAUUCGCGUCUGCCGAUUUGAUGAGUACAAACAUCAAGAAUAUUCUACUGAUUUGGAACAAAAAGCAAGGGGGUAGUAUUGUGUGUUGAGGCUUAUGGAAAACAGGGUUUUUUUCUGAUAUACAAAAUUAUGUUGCUUCUUUGCUUUAUUGGACGGCAGAUUUAGAUCACGUGUCUACUGUGAAAGAGAUCAUGUGUCUCAACGAAAAUGGCUCUCUCCGUUUGCGACAUCAGACCUCCCCAGUGUCUCAUUCUGAUGCAGAACUCUUGAAAUCAAGUUGAACGUUUUUAACCAUCUCAGGACAAAGCUGAAGCUUUAGUUUGCAGAAGUUAUUAGAAAAGUCGUCGCUUUUUGGUUAGUUUCUUGGCCGUCUGAUGCAUCAGUUGGAAUGAUGUUCACUUCCUCGACAUCAUUACUCACGUAAUUUAAUAACUUUGUGCUUCGAAAAAAGUUGUACUAAUCUUCAAUUUUUAAAAGAAAACUUAUGCAUUAUUCUUAUCUCGAGGUUAUAUCGAUCCGCAAAGGUAAAUCGGAAGACUUAGAGGGUAUUCUUUUCCUUGACACAAGAACGAUAAUUUAAGCAUUAGCAAGUCAUUCGCAUACAAACAGAUCAAAUCCACGAGGUAUUGCGCCUCGUCCGGCAACUUACCAUCCAGCAACGCAUCCAUCAACAGAAUGUUUAUGGAUCAAUGGUUAUAUCGUCGUCAUAAUCAUUAGAAGGUCAAUGGUGGUCAUAGUGGUUCACCCCCUUGAGAGUGAGUUGGUUGAACUAAAUAAAUUUAUGUUGAUGA